CAACGUCAGUUUACACAGCCGUUUUAGUUUAGCGGGGAUACCAAAUUCAGACAUCGCGGCAUAAAGGCAGCUCCUUUUCGUGCUGUCGAAAGCAGCUUUGAAAUCGACGAAGAGGUGGUGUGUGUCGAUUCUCCUUUCACGGGUCUUUUCCAAGAUUUGGCGCAUGGUGAAUAUCUGGUCGGUUGUUGAUUUUGCAGGUCUAAAGCCACACUGAUAAAACCCAAUCAGAUUGUUGACGGUGGGCUUUAAUAUUUCACACAAUACGCUCGAUAGAACCUUAUACGCGAUGUUGAGGAGGCUUAUUGCACGGUAGUUGGCUCAGAUUGUGGGGUCUCUCGUUUUGUGGAUUGGGCAGAGCAUACUAAAAUUCCAAUCGUUGGGCAUGCUUUCGUCCGACCAUAUUUUACAAAGAAGCUGAUGCAUGCUGCUUAGCAGUUCUUUGCCGCCGUGUUUGAAUAGCUCGGCCGGUAAUCCAUCGGCAGCCGCUGCUUUGUUGUUCUUCAGAAAGGGUAAUUGCUAUUCGAACUUCUUCAUGGUCAGGCAAUGGAACGUCUGCUCUAUCGUCAUCGAUUGGGGAAUUGGGUUCGCCUUCUCCUGUCGUUGUGCGUUCAUUGCGUUCGGUCACUAGAUCACCUUUGGGGGUUCUACAAGAAUAUGCUCCGGUCUUGAAACCUUCAGUUAGCCGCCGCUUCUUUUCGUAGAUUUUUCGAGCAUUGCCCCUGUCGGCCAGCUUAUCAAGCUCUUCAUACUCACGCAUUUCGUCCUCUUUCUUUUUCUGUCUGCAAAUGCGUCUCGCUUCCCUCUUCAACUCUCGCUAUCUAUCACAUCCCACACGUGUUGUGGUCGAUCGUAGCGUUGCGAGGUAGGCAGCCUGUUUUCUCUCCGCUGCGACACGGCACUCCUCGUCGUACCAGCUGUUCUUUUGCAUUUUUCGAAAACCAAUGGUUUCGGUUGCAGCUGUAUGUAAGGAGUUUGAAAUGCCGUACCACAGUUCCCUUAUACCGAGUUGUUGACGAGUGCUCUCAGAGAGUAGGAGUGCAAGUCGAGUAGAAAAUCCUUCGGCUAUUUGUUGUGAUUGUGGCUUCUCGACGUCGAACCUUCCUUGUGUUUGUUGGCGUGCGUUUUUUGCUACACAGAGGCGGGUGCGAAUCUGGGCUGCAACAAGAUAGUGGUCCCAGUCGAUGUUAGGACCUCGGAGCGCGAGCACCUAAAACACUGGAGACGUGACUUCCGUCUAUCAUAAUAUGAUCGAUCUGGCUGGUGGUUUUUCGAUCCGGAGACAGCCAGAUGGCUUGUUGAAUCUUCUUAUACUGGAAUCUAUCUAGUACUACAGAUAACCAUAUUUCAGGCCCCCGGCGAAGUCGAUCAGCCUCAACCCAUUUGGGGAUGUUUCCUAGUGGAGGCUGAAUUUUCCGGCCGUAGUGCCAAAGCUACCUUCUUUACCCACCUUGGCGUUAACGUCGGCAAGCACGAUUUGACAUCGUGGCAGGAGCAGCUCUCAUAUGCGCGCUCCAAGUGCUCAUAGAAGGCAUCUUUGGUCACAUCGUCCUUAUCUUCCCUCGGGGCGUGGGCGCAAAUCAGCGAUAUGUUGAAGAACCUCGCUUUGGUGCGGAUUGUGGCUAGACGUUCAUUCACCGGAGUGAAUGAUAGUACUCGGCGACGGAGUCUCUCUCCCACCACGAAUCCCACACCAAACGUGCGCUCCUUUAAAUGGCCACUGUGGUAAAUGUCACAAGGACCUACUCGUUUCAGUCCUUGUCCCGUCCAUCGAAUUUCUUGAACGGCGGUGAUGUCUGCUUAUAUUUUCACUGGGACAUCAACCAGCUGGGCAGCGGCACCUUCCCAAUUAAGGGAACGGAUAUUCCAGGUGCAUGCCCUAAUAUCGCAGUACUUAUUUCGUUUGCCAUGGUCGUCAUCAAAGGGGGGGUUUCUCAUCCGAGGCUGUUGGUAGUUUUUCAUUGGUAUAGUUUUGUUUAACGUGGCGGGUCCCAAACCCAGCGCACAACCCUAUAUAAGGGAUGUUUCGCCUUCUCACUUUAGCUCGCCUUCAAACAGAUGAUCUUAGGCUACCCAGAGGAUACUUGGUCAAAGACCGGAAGUAGUGAGCUGCUUGAGCCAUGUGUAAAAGAAUCGUUUCUGGCCACUUCCAAGUGAAUGGCGAUCAGAGAACUUUCCUCACUUGCGUGAACUUCUACACAUGACCCCAUCCUCCUGAAAUAGACUAUAAUGAAUUAAAAUAACUUCGAAAUAAAUUAGUCAAAAAUUAUUUUCAUGAUUUGGAAAUACAGGCUUUCCUGGCAAAUACGAAACAUGUGAACAAAAAAUACAUAUGAUAGGCAGUGUAUUUCAUUCUCAAAAUUUUCGAGAUAUUCGAAUGUAAUUAUUGUUCUAAGUAUAUUUUUGAGUAAAUAUUCCCGCUACGAAUUGUUCAAUAGAAAGAUAAUUUUCCAGUUUAAAAAAAUGUAAAACUUAUGUACGCCCAAGUAUGGGUAGAGAUAACAGAAAUCUUUGGCAAUACUGACUAUUAAAGCUUAUAUAUUUCAAGAAAUACAAGUAGAUUACAGUGUUAUAGUUUAUAUUUUGCAUGGACAUUUGCCAGGAAAAAGAUACUUAUAAAUUGAACAAUACAUAAUAAGUCGAGAAAUAUCCUAAUUAGUAGUUUUUAGGUAAGAGUUUAAUAAAUUUUUCUUUGUAUUUAAAUUGUAAA